AGGCCGUGAUGGGGGCACUUGCGUAAUAGCUCCUUGAACCUUUCCCAAGUUUCAUAUAAGGAUUCCCCGUCCUCUUGUGAGUAUGUAUUAAUCUCAGCCAUUAAUUU
rfam:Helianthus annuus linkage group 16, whole genome shotgun sequence.